rnacentral:rRNA from 1 species
GAUCAUGGCUCAGGAUGAACGCUGGCGGCGUGCUUAACACAUGCAAGUCGAGGGGCAGCAUAAUGGAUAGCAAUAUCUAUGGUGGCGACCGGCGCACGGGUGCGUAACGCGUAUGCAACCUACCUUUAACAGGGGGAUAACACUGAGAAAUUGGUACUAAUACCCCAUAAUAUCAUAGAAGGCAUCUUUUAUGGUUGAAAAUUCCGAUGGUUAGAGAUGGGCAUGCGUUG